UUUAAUUCAAAAUAGAGCGAUUUGCAUAAAAAAUAUGACAUAAGUUUAAAAUUUGUAAAUAUGGAACUUGGGCCAAAAACACGCUGAAACCCAAACUGUUCAUGGUUGGAUUUACACAGUUGCCCCUAUAGCUCUGCUACGGUAAGAAAGAGAAACAAAUUAAUAUUUUAUUUAAUAUCUAUGUAAAAAUGAGAAAUCUAUUAAGUUAAAAACAUUAUUUUGUCUCUUCUUUCACGUUCUCUCUUUCUCUUUCUCUUUCUAUUCUGUAAUUUUUUCAGAAUUAUCAUCGUCUCUUUUUUCUUUCUUGGCAAAUCCAAAUCUCAAUUUUGUAAAUCAUAAACUCUUUUCAAUUCGAUUUAAAAGUUUCGUCUAUCCAAUCAUAUACGAAAUAUAAAAAAGCAAUUUUUUCUCUUCGUCUCUUUGUACGACGGCGCGUGAACUAGUCUCAUCACCAUCCACCGCCGCCUCCGCCACUUUACCAUCAUCAAGUAUCAUCUCUGGUGGAUCAGUUGAGAAGACAAGAGCAGGCUAAGGAGACUCAUGCAACUAGUAAUCCAGGAUGUCAUCAGUAAACAGACGUUUACUCUUCCGUCAGCUUCUAUGGCCAGUCUCCGUCGUCGUGUCUCCGGGAGCCUCUGUUCUUCGCUUCUUCUUCGGCAUCCUCUCUCAUCCUUUUAUUUGUUCUCUCUCCUCUUGUUCUUCUUCCUCCUCUAUAGCAUCAUGGAUCUUCCUCCUCUCCAUUAGCUGAAAUGAAGGCAAGCUGUAGCAAGGGUGAGGUGACGGGAAGCUGUAACAUACGUGAGGUGACGGCGUGACGGUGAGCUUGAGCAGAGGUGAGGUAACUGUGUGAUGGCGAGCUUGAGCAGAGGUAAUGGUGUGAUGGAGUGACGAUGCGACGGUUAGUUGACAUGAUGGUGUGACGGCGAUAGAAAAGAAAAGAAGGUGAUAAAUUUGAAGAUAAGAAGAGAGGAGAUAUCAAGAGUGUAUCAAUUAUGAUGGAGAAGACGAGGUAAUUUUGUAGCAAUAGGCGAUGAAAUUAUCGAGGAAAACCAAAGAGUGUAUCGAUUGGUGGAUGAGGAAGUAACUCUCUCUUGAUAAAAAAUAAACACGUGUAAUGUAGAGAUACAGAGGUUCUGAAUAUGGUAUAGGUUGUGUUUUCGCUCAACAUAGGGGUACAACAGCCAUUAUAAAAAGACACAUCAGCGAGAAAGUGGCUUUUCCAUAUCUGCAAAUUAUGCAGUUAUCUUUGUACAUGAAGUGCAAUUUCUCUUCAAAAUAUAACAUAUACGAAAAAAUCUAAAUUUUUAUUAUAUAGUUAAUGUGUUUGUUUAAUUUAUUUUUUAUUUUUUUUUUAUCUUCCCAAAAUGAGACAUCAUUUUACAAAUUAGUCCAGAAAAUAGAAACUGAUAAAAAAAGAAAAGAACAUAAGCUGAAACACGUGUGAGCUUAAUUGAUUGAAAUGUCCUUGUUGUCUGAUGCAGAAGGAAGAACUAUAUCUGGAUGAACCUGAACCAAUUACACAGAAAUGAUUCAUUUAUGGUUGUUUAAUUUAUUUUAAUAAGUUAGAAUUUAAAAAAAAUGAUUGAAAAUAGACUAAUUUUUAUCAAAUCUUUAUUAUUCAAAAUCAUUAAUUGUCAUAUAUACUUUAGCCGCAUUAGGUAAUUUCAUGAUUUUUAUUUAAGGAAACAAUGAAGAAUAUUUAUGAUUAAUUUAUGAUUAGUUUAAUAAAAAACUUAUUAUAUAUUUAUAUGGACCAACAUAUUUUUUUAAGAAUUCUAAGAAUGAUUGUGGUGAUGACAUGUGGUUACAAAAAUAUGUUGUAAUGCUUUUCUUUUAAUAUAUAGGGGAUUACUAGACUAAACUAAUAGUUAGCAAAAAAAAAAAAAGGGUCUGCAUUUUUCUUUUACAUGGAGGUAUAUGGACCGAAGCCUACUAAAAUCCGAAAAACAGUACGAUAACAACUUAACAAGUAUUACCGGAUUUUAUGAUAUGGUCUAAUACAUGGUUCCAUCUUCCUCUAGCUAAGUAUAACAACUUAGAUUUUUGUAGGACUCGAAUCUAGAAUCGACGGAUUUACACUUUGUCCCAAGUUUUUCCUCUCACGAUCAGAUUACCAAUACUUGGUGAUUUGUAUUUUUCAGGAAAUGAUUUUAAUAACAUGUACGCAUUAACGUGUUAAAGUAUAACUUUGAUAUUUCUUGACGGCUAAUUACAAAAUGUAAAAAAGGAUUUCACACUUCACAUUUUUGAUGUACAGACACGAUCAACAUGGCAAAGUACACCAUACCAGAG